rnacentral:tRNA from 1 species
GGCCUCGUAGCUCAGCUGGUAGAGCGCUCGCUGUACUAAAGCGCGAGUGGCAACCACGCAUGAGUUCGAAUCGCGCCGGGGACA